GACGAACGCUGGCGGCGUGCUUAACACAUGCAAGUCGAACGAGAAUCUGCGGAAAGAGGAUUCGUCCAAUUGAAGCAGAGGACAGUGGCGGACGGGUGAGUAACGCGUGAGGAACCUGCCUUUCAGAGGGGGACAACAGUUGGAAACGACUGCUAAUACCGCAUGACACAUCGGAGUCGCAUGGCUCUGAUGUCAAAGAUUUAUCGCUGAAAGAUGGCCUCGCGUCUGAUUAGCUAGUUGGUGAGGUAACGGCCCACCAAGGCGACGAUCAGUAGCCGGACUGAGAGGUUGAACGGCCACACUGGAACUGAGACACGGUCCAGACUCCUACGGGAGGCAGCAGUGGGGAAUCUUCCGCAAUGGGCGAAAGCCUGACGGAGCAACGCCGCGUGAGUGAUGA
rnacentral:rRNA from 1 species